CUCGUUACACUGGUAUUAAAUAAUGUUACAGUAUCCAUUUGUGUUUUUAUUGUAGAUUCCCAGUAUGGCUGAAAAGUUGAAUGACGUGCCACCUGUAUCCAGCCUUGCAGGCCUUGUUGAACAGUGCUGUGGUGGUGAGCUUCAUGUUCUGCUGGCCCUUCAUCAGCCUGGUUGUUUUAUGGGGGGAAGGCCCACACCCUGGGCUGCCAGAGCUGGACCCAUGGACAGAUCUUUGAGUUCUUAGACCAGCAGAAGGAUAUUUUCAGCAGCCUCAACAUCAGUCAAAACUUCAACAGCAGUUGAAGAGACCAGCUUUAAUACCCACUAAAUUCAGCCCAGCACCUCAGCAAUAUACCAGUGACCUCUCUAUUGCUGCUCUAAGAGCAUCUGUACUUUUCUGUUUUACUGCCCCCACAUUCCACAAUGAUAUUCAGUCACAGUCACAAGGUGUCUCAGCCCUUUAAACUGGAUUACAGCUUUUACACUGUUUCUGGGUGUACUCAUGCAUACCUCCCUGUCUGUGCUCUUUGUUUCAGUGGCUGUACGAGAUGACAGUCGUUGUUCCCUAGCAUGCGCAUGGAGCAGCAAUUUGAUCUGGAGGACUUCCUCAAUGCUAGCAGUGUUGUUCAAUUUGACAUUGUGUCAUAUUUUGUUUUCUGUAAAAAAUAWAAAAAAAUCCCCCAGUGUAUCUAAGGCACUGUUACUACUGUAGCCUACCUUUCAUUACAGUAUAUUGGCAUUGAAUGAACUAUACUGCCUAUGACCGUUAUUUAUGUGCCUGUGUGCUUCUCUCAUUUAUUGUAGUUCUUGGAUGGAUUCAAUCAGAGUGCUCAGAAUUGGUCAGUUAACCUAAAUGGCUUGAAAUAAUACCUGACAAUGGCAGACGGGGCCUGCUGAACUUCAACUARGAUGGGCAAUUACUGCUGGUAUAUAAUAUAUAGGAGCAGCAAAUCUGUGUGUGUGUUAUUUUGUAUUUUUUUACCUUAAUUUAACCAGGAAAAUACCAUUUGUGGUUAGAAACCUCUUUUGCGAGAGGAACCUGGCCAAGAGGUCUGCAGGAAGUAGUCAGUGUGUACAGUAUAUACAAAGGGCAAAAUACAAUUCAAAAACAUUUCUCUAUCAGAGCUUUAAACUCAACAAUUGAUACCCUCUCCUCCAGUUUUAAAGUCUUUUGCAGCUCGUUCCCAGACCAAGGAGCYUUAUAGGAAAAUUAUAUUUAUCCUAUUUCAGUUUUGGCCUUAGGAACCGUGAAAGCUAGUAGCAGCUUGAAAGGGUGACUAUACAGUUGAAGUCGGAAGUUUACYUACACUU